rnacentral:rRNA from 1 species
UACGAAGGGUGCAAACGUUGCUCGGAAGUAUUGGGCGUAAAGCGCACGUAGGCGGCUUAGCAAGUCGGAAGUGAAAUCCCUCGGCUCAACCAAGGAAGUGCUUUCGAAACUGCUGAGCUUGAGUACUAAAGAGGAUCGCGGAAUUCCCGGUGUAGAGGUGAAAUUCGUAGAUAUCGGGAGGAACACCAGUGGCGAAGGCGGCGAUCUGGGUAGAUACUGACGCUGAGGUGCGAAAGCGUGGGGAGCAAACGGG